AGCGCAGGCGGGAGAACAAGUUGGAAGUGAAAUCCAUGGGCUCAACCCAUGAACUGCUUUCAAAACUGUUUUUCUUGAGUAGUGCAGAGGUAGGCGGAAUUCCCGGUGUAGCGGUGGAAUGCGUAGAUAUCGGGAGGAACACCAGUGGCGAAGGCGGCCUACUGGGCACUAACUGACGCUGAGGCUCGAAAGUGUGGGUAGCAAACA
rnacentral:rRNA from 1 species